AAGGCGCGCGAUACAGGGUGACAGCCCCGUACACAAAAGCGCAUGUGCUGUGAGCUCGAUGAGUAGGGCGGGACACGUGGUAUCCUGUCUGAAUAUGGGGGGACCAUCCUCCAAGGCUAAAUACUCCUGACUGACCGAUAGUGAACCAGUACCGUGAGGGAAAGGCGAAAAGAACCCCGGCGAGGGGAGUGAAAAAGAACCUGAAACCGUGUACGUACAAGCAGUGGGAGCACAGGUUUACCUGUGUGACUGCGUACCUUUUGUAUAAUGGGUCAGCGACUUAUAUUCUGUAGCAAGGUUAACCGUAUAGGGGAGCCGAAGGGAAACCGAGUCUUAACCGGGCGUUAAGUUGCAGGGUAUAGACCCGAAACCCGGUGAUCUAGCCAUGGGCAGGUUGAAGGUUGGGUAACACUAACUGGAGGACCGAACCGACUAAUGUUGAAAAAUUAGCGGAUGACCUGUGGCUGGGGGUGAAAGGCCAAUCAAACCGGGAGAUAGCUGGUUCUCCCCGAAAGCUAUUUAGGUAGCGCCUCGUGAAUUCAUCUCCGGGGGUAGAGCACUGUUUCGGCUAGGGGGCCAUCCCGGCUUACCAACCCGAUGCAAACUGCGAAUACCGGAGAAUGUUAUCACGGGAGACACACGGCGGGUGCUAACGUCCGUCGUGAAGAGGGAAACAACCCAGACCGCCAGCUAAGGUCCCAAAGUCAUGGUUAAGUGGGAAACGAUGUGGGAAGGCCCAGACAGCCAGGAUGUUGGCUUAGAAGCAGCCAUCAUUUAAAGAAAGCGUAAUAGCUCACUGGUCGAGUCGGCCUGCGCGGAAGAUGUAACGGGGCUAAACCAU
rnacentral:rRNA from 1 species